rnacentral:rRNA from 1 species
CCUACGGGAGGCAGUAGUGAGGAAUAUUGGUCAAUGGGCGCAAGCCUGAACCAGCCAAGUCGCGUGAGGGAUGACGGUCCUAUGGAUUGUAAACCUCUUUUGCCGGGGAGCAAGGCCCGCCACGCUUGGCGGGAAGGAGAGUACCCGAAGAAAAAGCAUCGGCUAACUCCGUGCCAGCAGCAGCGGUAAUACGGAGGAUGCGAGCGUUACCCGGAUUUAGUGGGUUUAAAGGGUGCGUAGGCGGAAGGUUAAGUCAGCGGUAAAAUGUCGGUGCUCAACACCGGCCUGCCGUUGAAACUGGUCUUCUUGAGUGAGCGAGAAGUAUGCGGAAUGCGUGGUGUAGCGGUGAAAUGCAUAGAUAUCACGCAGAACUCCGAUUGCGAAGGCAGCGUACCGGCGCUCAACUGACGCUGAGGCACGAAAGCGUGGGGAUCGAACAGGAUUAGAUACCCUUGUAGUC